GGCGCGGUGCUGUGUUGGUUUGGCACUCGGACUUUCAAUCCGGGCUACGCGGGUUCAAUUCCCGUUCGCGCUA
rnacentral:tRNA from 1 species